rnacentral:rRNA from 1 species
UACAGAGGGGGCAAGCGUUGUUCGGAAUUACUGGGCGUAAAGGGCGCGUAGGCGGCCUUCUAAGUCGAACGUGAAAUCCCCGGGCUCAACCUGGGAACUGCGUCCGAUACUGGAAGGCUUGAAUCCGGGAGAGGGAUGCGGAAUUCCAGGUGUAGCGGUGAAAUGCGUAGAUAUCUGGAGGAACACCGGUGGCGAAGGCGGCAUCCUGGACCGGUAUUGACGCUGAGGCGCGAAAGCCAGGGGAGCAAACGGG